rnacentral:rRNA from 1 species
AGAUUGAACGCUGGCGGCAUGCCUUACACAUGCAAGUCGAACGGCAGCACGGGGGCAACCCUGGUGGCGAGUGGCGAACGGGUGAGUAAUGCAUCGGAACGUGCCCAGUAGUGGGGGAUAACUAGUCGAAAGAUUAGCUAAUACCGCAUACGACCUAUGGGUGAAAGCGGGGGAUUCGCAAGAACCUCGCGCUAUCGGAGCGGCCGAUGUCUGAUUAGCUAGUUGGCGGGGUAAAAGCCCACCAAGGCUUCGAUCAGUAGCUGGUCUGAGAGGACGACCAGCCACACUGGGACUGAGACACGGCCCAGACUCCUACGGGAGGCAGCAGUGGGGAAUUUUGGACAAUGGGCGCAAGCCUGAUCCAGCCAUGCCGCGUGCGGGAAGAAGGCCUUCGGUGUAAACCGCUUUUUGGCAGGAACGAAACGGCGCGAGCGAAUAUCUCGCGUUAAUGACGGUACCUGCAGAAUAAGACACCGGCUAACUACGU